UACGUAGGGGGCGAGCGUUGUCCGGAUUUACUGGGCGUAAAACGCUUGUAGGUGGCCACGCCAAGUCGGAUGUGAAAUCUCCCGGCUUAACUGGGAGCGGUCAUUCGAUACUGGCGGGCUCGAGGCAGGUAGGGGGAAGCGGAAUUCCCGGUGUAGUGGUGGAAUGCGUAGAUAUCGGGAGGAACACCAGUGGCGAAGGCGGCUUCCUGGCCUGUUCUUGACGCUGAGGCGCGAAAGCUAGGGUAGCAAACGGG
rnacentral:rRNA from 1 species